UUUUGUGGCGCUACUAUGUUGCAUGCACCAAUUCUCCAUUGAUCACUAAAGUUAAGCAAUGUUGAGCGUGGUUGGUAUCCGGAUGUGUGGACAUUUGGGGUAAUUGUGUCCUGCUGGCU
rnacentral:rRNA from 1 species